ensembl:lncRNA
ACUUACAAAUAUUCUCAGAAAGCAGAAGUAAUUUCUAAAAGACUCUAUACAUAGGUCCUGGUGUUCUGGAGAUGUUCUGACAGCUUGUGAUCCUCUGUCUCCUGUGAAAACUGUUCUUCGGAGGGCACAUUUUUCCUAUGCGCUCCAUGUGAGAGAUGUCAGCCUAUUUUUGGGCCUCCUCCUGCCUCCCCACAUCCAUCUCUCCCCAGAGUGUCUGAGCCUCUUUCCCAGAGAAACCGAACGUGUGUUCGCAAGAAUAUCUUUUCUUGAUGAGUUUGUGCCCAUGGAAAAGUGGCCGUCUUUUGCAUAUUCCCAUAAACCAGACACAUUCUAACAAUUGCAUCCAUCAGACUUUGCUCUUGCUUGUAAGAGUUGAAAGUUUGAACGAUGGGUUAAUCUUAACCACUUAAAGGUUUAAAAAGAUUUACCAGUCCUAUAAUGUCUGGUCUACUGAAAAUGCUCAAAUUAAGCCUUCGGAAUAAAGAUUUCUGCCAGUUUUAUAGCUGUUUUGUGGAUUGUAUUUAAUCUCAGUUGACUCAAAGCCAAUAUGAAGGAGGCAAACUAUGGACGGACUCCAAGACUACAUCUGUUCUGGAGCGACUCCAAGGUGUAAAAGAUUGCAUUUCAUACAUAAAACAUUGGGUCAGUCAUGGAUUUGGCACAAGAAUCCUCUGUCACCGCUGUCCUGAGGGAUUUUGCAGGAGUUCAUCACAUGGACAGAAUCUGUGUUUACACAAGUAAAAGGCUCAGACAGGACUUGCCAUCACUAAAGAAACGCUGGGACGCCCCGACUGGGGUGUUUGUGUGAGCUGUCAUGCUCCCCCAUCCAGGAUCUGUAAAACAGGCUGAAGAGAAGAACAGACAGAGAUUAAUCUGUGAUACACAAUUCAGCCUGAAAUAUGUCAGACAUAUAGAGCAUUCAUGCUGACGGCACAUAGUGGGCAAUAAUACUUUACAACUGCUUACAAUUCAUAUAUGACUUUUAAACAUAAGUUUUAGACACAUACUAUGUA